rnacentral:lncRNA from 1 species
UGUCCAACCAAUCUUGAAUGUUUAUGCAGUGUGCCGGAAAUUUUUAUGGAUGGUACUUACAAAUAUUGCCCAAAGUUCUUUAAACAGUUAUAUACUAUUCAUGGCUAUAACAAAGGAAAUUAUGUCCCUCUUGUAUUCUGCUUACUUCCUGGAAAGUCUGAAGAAAUUUACGUGAAUUGCUUUUCCUCAAUUGUCAAGCUAUGUUCCGAUCAAGGUCACACACUUCAACCGAAAGCAGUACACGUCGAUUUUGAAGAACGGGUAAUGAAAGUUAUGAAGGAUUUUUUCCCGUCUAUAGAGAUCAAAUGCUGUAGGUUUCACUUAGGCCAAGCCUGGUGGCGAAAAAAUCCAGAAAGUUGGACUUAGU